UACGUAGGGUCCGAGCGUUGUCCGGAAUUACUGGGCGUAAAGAGCUCGUAGGUGGUUUGUCGCGUUGUUCGUGAAAACUCACAGCUCAACUGUGGGCGUGCGGGCGAUACGGGCAGACUAGAGUACUGCAGGGGAGACUGGAAUUCCUGGUGUAGCGGUGGAAUGCGCAGAUAUCAGGAGGAACACCGGUGGCGAAGGCGGGGUCUCUGGGCAGUAACUGACGCUGGAGGAGCG
rnacentral:rRNA from 1 species